UGCAUCCAAAACAGAACCCAGCUCAGUAAAUACCCAAUUAACUGGGUUCUGGCAGGGGUGGCAGCAAAAUGCUGUGGGGACAGCCAGAGUGUGCAGCAGUGAUGCCUUCGGAGGGGGUCUGUGUAGGCCCCACCGCCAGCAGUACCAAGGGAAAGCAACAAAAUAAGAUAAAUAAAUGAUUUUAUUUUAUUUAUUUAUUUAUUCUUUUUGUUGAGGGUGUUUAACGAAAUGUAUUUCCUUCUUCCCUCACCCCCUCCUUCAGAAAUUGCUCCCCAAAGCUUCUGCCAUACGAAGGGGAACUCAAAGCGGUUGCACUCCAGUUGCGUGCAGUAAAACGGCAGCUGAACUGACACAACGAGUGUCAAACAAGAAGACAUCCAGCAUUCUUCCAAAUUGCUCGACUCACAUUCCCUCUGAGCUCCUCCUCGCCUUACCAUCUUCCUGGGUUCGAGUUCUCCCAUUCAGCAACCACUUAGGAAGCCCUGGUUCUCCCUCUCCUUUUCUACAAUCACUAAUCAAACUUCAGCUGAGGAUCCACCUUUCCAAGGAUCUGCCCUGUGCUCUCUGCCACAACCACUUCUUCCCCAGGUGCUCUCUUCUGCAGGCACUGUGCAUGCACAGGGAAAUGUCCAGCCCCACUGCCGUUCCUAACAAAUUGCACCUCGACAUCAAACCUCCAACCCAAACUCUCCACUCUGCU